GACGAACGCUGGCGGCGUGCCUAAUACAUGCAAGUAGAACGCUGAAGGAGGAGCUUGCUCUUCUGGAUGAGUUGCGAACGGGUGAGUAACGCGUAGGUAACCUGCCUGGUAGCGGGGGAUAACUAUUGGAAACGAUAGCUAAUACCGCAUAACAGUAGAUGUUGCAUGACAUUUACUUAAAAGGUGCACUUGCAUCACUACCAGAUGGACCUGCGUUGUAUUAGCUAGUUGGUGGGGUAACGGCUCACCAAGGCGACGAUACAUAGCCGACCUGAGAGGGUGAUCGGCCACACUGGGACUGAGACACGGCCCAGACUCCGAAGGGAGGCAGCAGUAGGGAAUCUUCGGCAAUGGACGGAAGGCUGACCGAGCAACGCCGCGUGAGUGAAGAAGGUUUUCGGAUCGUAAAGCUCGGUUGUAAGAGAAGAACGAGUGUGAGAGUGGAAAGUUCACACUGUGACGGUAUCUGACCAGAAAGGGACGGCUAACUACGUG
rnacentral:rRNA from 1 species